rnacentral:lncRNA from 1 species
UGAUUUAUAAGUACACAAAAUUGUAUUUUUCAGCGGCAUUUUAAGUCAUUUACAAGAAAUUUAAAUAUCAAAAUAAGCUACAGAGCCAAAAGCCGAAAGUUAAGAAUUUUGGCCGAAAGUUAAGAAUACAGGGUCGGUCAAAUGAAGUUCACUGGGAUGUGUCAUGCUGAACAUACGAGUAACAUAGUUAAUUUCCUUACAAUCACUGCAGCUUGUGUAUCACUAUCAUCAAUGAAAGCAAGCAUUCAUAUCUAUGAAUGCUAAUAUGUUCCUACAUACACAAGCUAGCAUUAAUAUGUCUGUGAUCCUUUCUACAAACUUACUGUUUGGCUAAAAACAUCGCCCCUUUUUUUGUCCAGAGGCGCCAGAUUCUUGAGUGGGAUGGAUUUUCUACAGGAUCAGCUUCAGUGACAGCAGCUGCUGCAGUGUGGUAUCUUUCUACCAUCUCAUAGUUCAUUAUCCACUUCAGACCUUCGGAUGUCUCGGUCAAUAUUGGGGUCUGGAACGCCUGAGCAUGAUAAAUUUAUUUUUU